rnacentral:tRNA from 1 species
AAAACAUUAAUUUACAUCUC